rnacentral:rRNA from 1 species
AACGCGAAGAACCUUACCUGGGCUCGAAAUGUUGUGGACCGGGGUUGAAAGAUCCCUUCCCCGCAAGGGGCCGCAAUAUAGGUGCUGCAUGGCUGUCGUCAGCUCGUGUCGUGAGAUGUUGGGUUAAGUCCCGCAACGAGCGCAACCCUUACCACCAGUUGCCAUCAUUCAGUUGGGCACUCUGGCGGAACCGCCUCGGAUAACGGGGAGGAAGGUGGGGAUGACGUCAAGUCCUCAUGGCCUUUAUGUCCAGGGCUACACACGUGCUACAAUGGCCGGUACAAACCGUCGCAAACCCGCGAGGGGGAGCUAAUCGGAAAAAGCCGGCCUCAGUUCGGAUUGCAGUCUGCAACUCGACUGCAUGAAGCUGGAAUCGCUAGUAAUCGCGGAUCAGAAUGCCGCGGUGAAUACGUUCCCGGGCCUUGUACACACCGUAGAGAC